GGCGGCGUGCUUAACACAUGCAAGUCGAACGAAGAACGAUGGAAGCUUGCUUCUAUCAAUCUAGCGGCGAACGGGUGAGUAACGCGUAAUCAACCUGCCCUUCAGAGGGGGACAACAGUUGGAAACGACUGCUAGUACCGCAUACGAUCUAAUUUGGCAUCGAGGAUAGAUGAAAGGUGGCCUCUACAUGUAAGCUAUCACUGAAGGAGGGGAUUGCGUCUGAUUAGCUAGUUGGAGGGGUAACGGCCCACCAAGGCGAUGAUCAGUAGCCGGUCUGAGAGGAUGAACGGCCACAUUGGGACUGAGACACGGCCCAGACUCCUACGGGAGGCAGCAGUGGGGAAUCUUCCGCAAUGGACGAAAGUCUGACGGAGCAACGCCGCGUGAGUGAUGACGGCCUUCGGGUUGUAAAGCUCUGUUAAUCGGGACGAAAGGCCUUC
rnacentral:rRNA from 1 species